AACGCACAUUGCGCCCGCCAGUAUUCUGGCGGGCAUGCCUGUUCGAGCGUCAUUUCAACCCUCGAGCCCGACUCUUCGGAGGACGGCCCGGCGUUGGGGACCGGCAGACUGCCCCGCACCUCCGGGUGUGGGACGCCGCCCCCGAAAUUUAGUGGCGGCCCUCUGAGGCGACCUCUGCGUAGUAACUCACCUCGCACUGGAAACAUUGGAGUGGCCACGCCGUAAAACACCCAACUUUUUUUCAGGUUGACCUCGAAUCAGGUAGGACUACCCGCUGAACUUAA
rnacentral:misc_RNA from 1 species